GUACGGGAGGCAGCAGUGGGGAAUAUUGGACAAUGGGCGCAAGCCUGAUCCAGCAAUGCCGCGUGUGUGAAGAAGGUCUUCGGAUUGUAAAGCACUUUCGACGGGGACGAUGAUGACGGUACCCGUAGAAGAAGCCCCGGCUAACUUCGUGCCAGCAGCCGCGGUAAUACGAAGGGGGCUAGCGUUGCUCGGAAUGACUGGGCGUAAAGGGCGCGUAGGCGGUUUGUACAGUCAGGUGUGAAAUUCCCGGGCUCAACCUGGGGGCGGCACUUGAUACGUAGGAACUUGAGUGAGGAAGAGGGUCGUGGAAUUCCCAGUGUAGAGGUGAAAUUCGUAGAUAUUGGGAAGAACACCGGUGGCGAAGGCGGCGACCUGGUCCUUUUACUGACGCUGAGGCGCGAAAGCGUGGGGAGCAAACAGGAUUAGAAACCCGAGUAGUCCG
rnacentral:rRNA from 1 species